rnacentral:rRNA from 1 species
AUAUUGGUCAAUGCGCGGAAGCCUGAACCAGCCAUGCCGCGUGCAGGAUGACUGCCCUAUGGGUUGUAAACUGCUUUUGUCCAGGAAUAAACCUUUCUACGUGUAGGGAGCUCAAUGUACUGGAAGAAUAAGGUUCGGCUAACUCCGUUCCAGCAGCCGCGGUAACACGGAGGAUCCGAGCGUUAGCCGGAUUUAUUGGGUUUAAAGGGUGCGUAGGCGGCCUAUUAAGUCAGGGGUGAAAUACGGUGGCUCAACCAUCGCAGUGCCUUUGAUACUGAUGGGCUUGAAUCCAUUUGAAGUGGGCGGAAUAAGACAAGUAGCGGUGAAAUGCAUAGAUAUGUCUUAGAACUCCGAUUGCGAAGGCAGCUCACUAAGCUGGUAUUGACGCUGAUGCACGAAAGCGUGGGGAUCGAA